UAGGGAAUCUUCGGCAAUGGGGGGAACCCUGACCGAGCAACGCCGCGUGAGUGAAGAAGGUUUUCGGAUCGUAAAGCUCUGUUGUUAAGGAAGAACGAGUGUGAGAAUGGAAAGUUCAUGCUGUGACGGUACUUAACCAGAAAGGGACGGCUAACUACGUGCCAGCAGCCGCGGUAAUACGUAGGUCCCGAGCGUUGUCCGGAUUUAUUGGGCGUAAAGCGAGCGCAGGCGGUUAGAAAAGUCUGAAGUGAAAGGCAGUGGCUCAACCAUUGUAGGCUUUGGAAACUGUUUAACUUGAGUGCAGAAGGGGAGAGUGGAAUUCCAUGUGUAGCGGUGAAAUGCGUAGAUAUCGGGAAGAACACCAAUGGCGGAGGCAGGUCUCUGGGCUGUUACUGACGCUGAGAAGCGAAAGCGUGGGGAGCGAACAGG
rnacentral:rRNA from 1 species